UACGUAGGGUGCAAGCGUUGUCCGGAAUUAUUGGGCGUAAAGAGCUCGUAGGCGGUUUGUCGCGUCUGCUGUGAAAACCCAGGGCUUAACCCUGGGCCUGCAGUGGGUACGGGCAAACUAGAGUGCGGUAGGGGAGAUCGGAAUUCCUGGUGUAGCGGUGAAAUGCGCAGAUAUCUGGAGGAACACCGGUGGCGAAGGCGGCAUCCUGGACCGACACUGACGCUGAGGAGCGAAAGCCAGGGGAGCAAACGGG
rnacentral:rRNA from 1 species